rnacentral:rRNA from 1 species
AUUGAACGCUGGCGGCAUGCCUUACACAUGCAAGUCGAACGGCAGCACGGGAGCUUGCUCCUGGUGGCGAGUGGCGAACGGGUGAGUAAUACAUCGGAACGUACCCUGAAGUGGGGGAUAACGUAGCGAAAGUUACGCUAAUACCGCAUAUUCUGUGAGCAGGAAAGAGGGGGAUCGCAAGACCUCUUGCUUUAGGAGCGGCCGAUGUCGGAUUAGCUAGUUGGUGAGGUAAAGGCUCACCAAGGCGACGAUCCGUAGCGGGGUCUGAGAGGAUGAUCCGCCACACUGGGACUGAGACACGGCCCAGACUCCUACGGGAGGCAGCAGUGGGGAAUUUUGGACAAUGGGCGCAAGGCCUGAUCCAGCCAUGCCGCGUGAGUGAAGAAGGCCUGGU